GGUCAGGAUAGGCCCGCGUGCACAUGAUGACCGGACAAACCCGCUCCUCCUCACCACCCUGGAGAAUGAUGGGAAGAAAGGCAAAGACAGAGAGGAAGGAGAGGGAGAAAGGGUUGAUUGAUGAGGUUCAUUUAGUAAAUUCCUUCACUGUGGGAAUGGUCUUAAGUUCACAUAGGAGGUCUGGAGGGCUACAGGGGUGAAAGGGCAACGGGUCAAAGGUCACAGGUCCCGCUCCAUCUAGUUCCACUCUUCAACGGCUCAAAUCUCGUCUAAUGCAACAGAGAACAAGGACUUAUCUCAGCAUGACUGAGCAGCUGAGCAGCAGGAAGGAGGAGGGCAGGUGAAGAGGUAAUCAGCAGGGUUAGUAAUAUGUUGGGUAGUGAGUAACAGAAAGGUGAAGAGGGAGUGAAAUGCGCAUUGAUGUAUGGAUGGAGGUGGGGAGGAAGAAUAAGUACAGAAGAGAAGAAUACAGCUAAAAAGUGGGGAGAAGAAAAAGAGGGCAUGAGGAACAAAGCCAAGAAGGAAUUAAAGGGAAUUAGCAGUACAGUGUGAGGGUGAGAUUAAAUGAGAGUGUGAGAGUUGUGAAGAAAGAUGUAGGAGAGGCAGAGAGAUAACAAAGUAGCUUGAGGACAGUCAGGUUGGUAUUAGACAACAUUACAGACUAAUAAACGAUUUCAGCAAAUAAGA